rnacentral:snRNA from 1 species
GCACGCGCCUAACGGCGUGCC